rnacentral:rRNA from 1 species
GAUGAACGCUGGCGGCGUGCCUAAUACAUGCAAGUCGAGCGAACGGACGAGAAGCUUGCUUCUCUGAUGUUAGCGGCGGACGGGUGAGUAACACGUGGAUAACCUACCUAUAAGACUGGGAUAACUUCGGGAAACCGGAGCUAAUACCGGAUAAUAUUUUGAACCGCAUGGUUCAAAAGUAAAAGACGGUCUUGCUGUCACUUAUAGAUGGAUCCGCGCUGCAUUAGCUAGUUGGUAAGGUAACGGCUUACCAAGGCAACGAUGCGUAGCCGACCUGAGAGGGGGAAAGGCCACACGGGAAGGGAACCGGGGUCAAGACGCCGGCGGGGGGAAGCGGGAGGAAAUCUGCAGCAAGGGGGGAGAGCGGGACAGAGAAACGCGGAGGGAGUGAGGAGGUUCUUGGGAUAAUAAAACUCUGUUAUAAGGAAAGAAAAUAUGUGAAAGUAGAUGUGCAAAUAUGGACGGAACAAAAUAAAAAAGCCACGGAUAACUACGGG